AGAGUUUGAUCCUGGCUCAGAUUGAACGCUGGCGGAAUGCUUUACACAUGCAAGUCGAACGGGCUUGAGAGGCUUGCUUCUCAAGUUAGUGGCGAACGGGUGAGUAAUGCGUCGGAACGUACCGAGUAAUGGGGGAUAACGCACCGAAAGGUGUGCUAAUACCGCAUACGCCCUAAGGGGGAAAGCAGGGGAUCGCAAGACCUUGCGUUAUUCGAGCGGCCGACGUCUGAUUAGCUAGUUGGUGAGGUAAUGGCUCACCAAGGCGACGAUCAGUAGCGGGUCUGAGAGGAUGAUCCGUCACACUGGGACUGAGACACGGCCCAGACUCCUACGGGAGGCAGCAGUGGGGAAUUUUGGACAAUGGGGGAAACCCUGAUCCAGCCAUUCCGCGUGAGUGAAGAAGGCCUUCGGGUUGUAAAGCUCUUUCAGCGGGAACGAAACGGUGUGCUCUAACAUAGCGCGCUAAUGACGGUACCCGCAGAAGAAGCACCGGCUAACUACGUGCCAGCAGCCGCGGUAAUACGUAGGGUGCGAGCGUUAAUCGGAAUUACUGGGCGUAAAGCGUGCGCAGGCGGUUAUGUAAGACAGAUGUGAAAUCCCCGGGCUCAACCUGGGACCUGCAUUUGUGACUGCAUAGCUAGAGUACGGUAGAGGGGGGUGGAAUUCCGCGUGUAGCAGUGAAAUGCGUAGAUAUGCGGAGGAACACCGAUGGCGAAGGCAAUCCCCUGGACCUGUACUGACGCUCAUGCACGAAAGCGUGGGGAGCAGACAGGAUUAGAUACCCUGGUAGUCG
rnacentral:rRNA from 1 species